GUAACAUUUGUAAGCUUAUUAUUUUGUUAUCAUGAUCAUUGUUAUAACCUCUGUUAUGGUUCGUUCAGUUUACAGUUUAUUUUCAAGUUCAUUUAAAGUCAUUCCAGUCGAAGGUAAACAUGAUUGUAAUUGUUGUUUCCAACACUAGUAAAUGCUUUUAUUGUUUUGCCAGACAACAAUCGGUCACAUUUUCUCAUUCAUACGCACACAUGGAAAGAUCAGAAACAAAGAGUCUGUCGCUCACUCACUCGCUCUCUCGCUCUCAAUAAUUUGCACACACGAACGCACCCAUGAACACACAUACAUGUUUUCUCGCCCGCGUGUCUGAGUUCUUAAGUGCAACUUCUUGAAGAGUGAUUUAACCUUUCAAACUCUUCAAUCCUCCCACUCGACACCUGAACCCAAACCUUUCCUCCUUCACCCUCCCACCAUGAGCUAUAUGUACACCUGGGGCUGGAUCACACAUGGUCUUUUAAUUGGUUGUUUAUUUCCACAGGCACAAUCUCUUGUCAGGGUGACAUUUCAUUAGACUUUCUUGCAUUCUUUUCAGUUUUUCUUACUAGACAUGUUGAUCAUUUUAGCCUAUUUAGGUCUCCAAAAAGGCCAAAAUAGGUAAAAAUUAGACCUUUAAAAAGGUUCAAAAUAUAUCUCUGCCUCAGUGAAACAUAUGCUAUCUAUAUACAAUUAAUAGCAAACAGACAUAGUUUAUUUUAAAAGGUUAUCACUUUAGUACUUCCCUUCUAUAAAUCUGGGAAUUCUUUAAGAUAAAAGCACGUGGCCAAAAUGAAAACGAGAACAGAUAAAACAGAUAACAAAUACCAACUUUCUGUCCACACUAUAAAAUCCUCAACUCAAAAAUACUUGAUCUUACAAUUCCCAUGAUGCAACUCUGUAACUCCUCUCAGAAGUCAUGUCUUGUACAAGCCUAUAUUUUUCAAAUGCCAUGGCCCUUACUGAUUAAACAAGACAUCUAUUUAAAAUUUCAAGGCUAAAGUUCAGCAUAGUUUACUUAUCCGUUUAACUUUUCUAAAGGUUAAAGUUAUCAUAAUUAGGCAUGUGGACUGACAGGAAGCUGUAGCCAGUAGUUUUCUGUUAGGCCACUGAACUGUACCUCUUUCCUGUGCUUGCAGUGUUGGCAAAAGGCUAAAAUAAUGGCUUCAAAACUGGACUUCACAAACCAAUAUGUGAUGUCACUGUGGCUGUGCCCAUCUUUUAUUUACAGUCUAUACCCCAGAGCCAGAGAUUACAUUAAAAAAAAGUUCUCACGAGCUCACUAAUGCUCCUAAUUAUCUCCUAACUCAUGUAUAUAGUCACCGGAGCGUCUUUUAAAGGAAAUAAAGCGACGCACCAGUGUUGUUGUUAAAAACAUAGUAUGCAGCAUAACUUUACCUUAAAGUUGAAUGAGUUGAAGAGAAUCACAGAGUGCAGCCCAGGUUUACAUAAAGCUUAACCCAACCCAAUUUUCAAACUUUUAAAACCCGUCUUCCCAUUUCAACAUAAGCAGUUAUGUACCACAGCAAACUCAACAAAACUGAAAAUAAAAAAAAAAGAAAAGAAAGGAAAACAACCGCAAAGAAAACUGAGCUUCAAGUUUGUAAAAAUGCUUACAUCACAUUUCACCUCGUCAGAUUUCAAUACAUUAGAAUUCCAUUCUGUUCUGUUGUGACAUUUACACGAGUACUUGAACGCCUCACGUACCAGUGGGCGAGCCGCGUGGCGUCAGUCCUGAUCGACUAACGGCCAGCUCACAGUCCAUCGUCAUCAUCCUCUUUAUUAUCAUUAUAAUCAACAUCACCUUCAUUAUUGUUAUCAGCUACUAUGGUAAGCCAUGCCCUACUAGAGUCCAUCCAUUGGCAGGGUAGGGUAACCAUGGUGAAUAAGGUGCUAGUUGCUAUGGAAACGCUAUUCUGAAGCAACCAACUGGUACAUUUGUUUGAGUUUUGGAUUGCUGUACCUCCCCACCAAAGCACUUGGUUUCUUGCAGUCGUUUGUGAGGAGGGUAGUAUUGCUGAGUGUAUCCAUGGCUGCUCGAUGGCCAUCGUGUGCUUCAUUAACCUCGGAGCUGGCAGAGGACGAACUGAGUACUCCAAGGAAAAGACAGAAAAGUACCACAGCAACUUCUAACGUCCACACACCUUUGCACUGUCUGUCAAUGCCACAUGUUCAGGUUCCUUUCCCCCUCUUCUAUCUUUUCCUAGAAAUGAUAUUGUACACCUUCCCAAGGCUAGUUGGCAUGGUGACGCUGAUGGGAUGGCCGUUGCUAGGAGAUGCACAGAGCGGCCAAAAAG